rnacentral:rRNA from 1 species
AUACGGGGGGUGCGAGCGUUAAUCGGAAUUACUGGGCGUAAAGCGCGCGUAGGUGGUUUAGUAAGUCGGAUGUGAAAGCCCUGGGCUCAACCUGGGAAUUGCAUUCGAUACUGCUUGACUAGAGUAUGGUAGAGGGAAGUGGAAUUUCCGGUGUAGCGGUGAAAUGCGUAGAUAUCGGAAGGAACACCAGUGGCGAAGGCGACUUUCUGGGCCAAUACUGACGCUGAGGUGCGAAAGCGUGGGGAGCAAACAGGAUUAGAAACCCCGGUAGUCC